AUGUGCUGCUUCUAAUCGUCCUUUCAGGACAAUUAUUGACCAUUUUGACCUCAAAUCAGGUAGGAUUACCCGCUGAACUUAAGCAUAUCAAUAAGCGGAGGGGG
rnacentral:rRNA from 1 species